ACCAUGAGCAUCUCAUGUACAGUGUUUGCAGGUCUCCAUGAUGUAGAGUACAUGUUUUUGUGUGCUGAUCGGAGGUUGUGGUGGUAACGAGUUUCUUGCCAAAAUGAGUGAAUGAGUGAACAAUUAGUGCUGAAGUUGGUUGACGUUCAUGAUAUUCGGUUUCUUGGAGGUGUGAGAGGACCUGUGCAGAUUUUGCUUUGAGAUAAUCUGCUUAGAUUAGGUCAACAACUUCAGGUGGAUUGUUUGGGUGUUGGGUUACAGUUUCCCGUUGGAUUGCAAUACAUGUCUGUCUAUUUUGAGAUGUGGGUGAGCUGUUAUUUCCGUUACGCUGUUUAGAAUGCUCUCGAAAUGCUACGAUCAUACAACCUAAAAUUGAUUCAUACUAGGAUUUGAUGCAUAGAAAUCCAAAACCUCUAGAACCCUAAUCAAAUCUUUUGGAACCCUUCGAAACCUCCACACAAUUGAAGUAUACACCAACAACAGUUAACACGGGUUAAGUUCAUUCAGGAUGUUAAGUUUGUUUUAAGGUGAAAUUCACUAAGUUUUGUUCUUAUGACAUUGAUUACUCCGUUGAACACAGGGGCUUGUGUGAGGCUCCUGCAAGACCUUCGUUUAAGCUGAUUUAGGAGCAGGAUCGUAGGAUGUCACUAGUGCUAGAGACUCCAUGUGGUAUUUUGGCUUGAAAAUAGUUUUCUGUUAGAAGUAUGGGGAUUUUGGUACGUGCACCUUUGUGCAUAUUUCUCUGAUCUAAUCUUGUGUGCCACUAUCUGUAGAGUAUUCUGUUGAGGAUGAUGAUAUCAUCUGCGAAGGGGGCCAGGGAAGCGUAAGGGCUCUUAACAUGCUCCUGAAAGUUGGUUACCAGUGGACUACCUCGCGGUGAGGAACCUGAUCCCGAUGAAUCCGCUUCCACAGCUUCAGUUCAUAUGACCCUACAGUGACAGUUGAGGCAAUCAACGAACAAGAGCCUGACCCAGAUGAUUCUCUUUGCCUCUGGUGGAAAAACCUGAUUCUAGUAAAGAUUUUGACCCUGGCCGGAAUAGGACGCUACAUUUCUAUCAGAAAUGUAGCGACUUUUGCUAGUUUUCGGUACGGGUGACUCCGAUAAGUUGCUCUCGCAGUGGCCGAAUUGGUGCUUCUCUCAGGUGACCACGACUUGAUACAUGGGGUGGUCACAAUUGAUAAUAUUGCAACUGUUUCAAUCCAUAGAUGACUUCUGCCUAGCACAGUUAA